UUUUGACCUCAAAUCGGGUGAGACUACCCGCUGAACUUAAGCAUAUCAAUAAGCGGAGGA
rnacentral:rRNA from 1 species